UCCGCCCUAGCUCAGUUGGUAGUAGCGCAUGACUGUUAAUCAUGAUGUCGUAGGUUCGAGUCCUACUGGCGGAG
rnacentral:tRNA from 1 species